AACUCAGAAAUCCGCCUGCCUCUGCCUCCCGAGUGCUGGGAUCAAAGGCAUGCACCACCACACCCGGCCAAAAGUCAUUAUGUUUUUAAUGAUUAUCAUAUUAGCAUAAAUUUCAGCAGAAACAGAAAACAGAUAGCACCUUACAAAGACUAAGUAAGGCAAAGCUGAUGACAGUUCUACUAGAGGUAAGUGAGCAAACUAAGAAAAACCAGUGCAGGCUAUUGAAGAGCCUGGGAAUACAAGCAGCAAUGUGUCCCCAGCCCAGGAGCUCUGACCUACAAAUGGGCAGGGGUGGCAGAGAAACACCAGAUAGACUUCCUCCCUGCUUGGUCUAACCACACAUCAUGUUGGCCAAAUGCAGCCCAAACACAGAGAACAAGGAAGCCUGUGGGUGCCACGUGGAGACCUUAGCUUCUGAGGCUGUGCAGGACAGACCACAGACUCUCUCAGAUUGUGCUUGCCCUGUACCUGAGGGAAGGUGUGAUUUGUAACUCGAUUUCUCCAAUAAAAUGGGCAGAACUGACACUUAGCACCUUUAGGUAGAGAGUUCAAAAGGACGUCACGCUCUCUCCUUCUGCACUGUCAUUUGGAUUAGAGGUGGCAUCUACAGAGCACAGCCCCAUCUGCAGGAGACAGUUGGCAUGACUGAGAAAUGAGUUCUGUGUUUUACUAUGGGCUAAGAAAUAUUAUGGCAUCUUCUCACCAUCUUAGAGGUUUCUUGGUCACCUACAUUGUCCCCAAUCCAAAAGCUCAUAUAGAAAGGGGUAGGAAUUGUUUCUCUGACUCUUUCAACAGCUUUCAAAUGGUUUACAUAUCUUCUGUAUUCUCAAAGCCUAAAUGUCGAAGAAACUAGUCAGACAUGAUAUAAGGGGGAGAACUGAGCUAACUAAGUGAACUAUUGAAUCUAGAGGCUGGACUUCUUCCCUUGCUUGGUUUGAUGGUGGCUACAAUCACCAACCUUCCUUUAAAGGGGAACAGGGAAACUUUACAUGAACAUUUAUACAUAAAAGCUUCUUAUGCAGGACUGGGUCUGCACCUCUUCUCCUAACACAUCAAAUCCCAUGGGGGUCCCUGCAGGUGUCAGAAAGUGGAUCCAGUGAAGAAAUAAGAAUGCUAACCCCAUGCAGACUGUCUUUGUCUACCUGGAUUAGACUUCAGGGAGUCUAACAACAGGCCUUUUAUUCCCAGUGCACUUAACCCCAGCAUAAUUUGGAAAAUGUUUCCUGGUGUGAUAUAAUCACCAUCACACAAGAAAAUGUAAUUACAUUGAGACUUAACUCAACUUCCAGGGCAACCAAAGCUACAUAGAGAAACCCUGUCUCAAAAAAAAAAAAAAAAAACUAAUAAUAAU
rnacentral:lncRNA from 1 species